rnacentral:rRNA from 1 species
AAGGGCACCACAAGAACGCGUGGAGCAUGUGGCUUAAUUUGACUCAACGCGGGAAAACUUACCGGGUCCGGACACACUGAGGAUUGACAGGCGAUAAACUAUGCUAGUCCUUUCAUGAUUGUGUGAUAGGUGGUGCAUGGCCGUUCUUAGUUCGUGGAGUGAUCUGUCUGCUUAAUUGCGUUUCAGAUAAUAAGCACCGAUUAUGUAGUGUGAUGUGUUGUCUACGGGCACGCGUCGCGCGCAUACGAGUGCUAUGAAGGCAACGAACGUGACCGCAACCCUUUGUUGCAUCCGUCGAGCACGACCCUUGUGAGCAUAUGUUUGUUUACGCAAAUAAUGUUUGCUUGGACACCGCGCCGGUUAAGGAUUUGCUAACUAAGGGGACCGCCAGGGUUGUUUAACCGGAGGAAGGUUGCGGCAAUAACAGGUCUGUGAUGCCCUUAGAUGUUCCGGGCUGCACACGUGCCACAAUGAUUGUUACACAAAGUAUCUAAUUUAUAGCUUCACGCUUUACGCGUAAGCCAUGACGCGAUCGUCGCGGCGCGCGGAGCCUAACAGCUCGUGCGCGCAUGCGAUCGACUUCGCUCAUGAAACCUACCUCGAAAGUACGGUAGGCAAUCAAUUCCAAGUGACAAUCUCCCGCGCACAAAUCAAAUGGGCAAUUGUCGUGCGUCGUUCGCGGCGUUCACGCAAUUGAACAUGUGCUCUAUUAAUUCGUGGUCGGGACAGACCAUUGCUAAUUGUUGGUCUCGGUCUCAACUAGGAAUGCCUUGUACGGGUCUUUGGUUCAACAAACCACCCGGAAUACGUCCCUGCCCUUUGUACACACCGCCCGUCA